GAGAGAAUGAGGUUUUUACAAUCUGAUUUUUCAAAUUAUCAUUUUGCCCCUCAGAGUAUUUUAACCGUAUUUUCGUCGUUAAAGCUUUGAUUCGAGCCCACUUCGUGUCUACGGACUCGUUUCGUCGUGCUCUACGCAACGGUGUGUGUGGAAUUGUCAAAUUCCUUCUCGGUAAAAAAGUCAACUUUUCUUUAAUAAAUUAUUUCAAGGGCAAAAUUGUC
rnacentral:lncRNA from 1 species